GGCACGGGGGGCCUACGGGAGGCAGCAGUGGGGAAUAUUGCACUCUGGGGGAGAUCCUGAUGCAGCAACGCCGCGUGAGUGAUGAAGGUCUUCGGAUCGUAAAGCUCUGUCUUCAGGGACGAUAAUGACGGUACCUGAGGAGGAAGCUACGGCUAACUACGUGCCAGCAGCCGCGGUAAUAAACA
rnacentral:rRNA from 1 species